rnacentral:rRNA from 1 species
GCGAGAACUUACCUGGGCUUGAACUGUAUGGACCGGUGCAGAGAUGUGCCUUUUCCAAGAACUGUUACAGAGGUGCUGCAUGGCUGUCGUCAGCUCGUGUCGUGAGAUGUUGGGUUAAGUCCCGCAACGAGCGCAACCCUUACCUUUAGUUGCCAGCGGGUCAUGCCGGGAACUCUAAAGGGACUGCCCGGGUUAACCGGGAGGAAGGCGGGGAUGAUGUCAAGUCCUCAUGGCCCUUAUGUCCAGGGCUACACACGUGCUACAAUGGGCGAUACAAACCGUUGCGAGAUCGCGAGAUGGAGCUAAUCGGAGAAAGUCGUCCUCAGUUCGGAUUGUAGUCUGCAACUCGACUGCAUGAAGGUGGAAUCGCUAGUAAUCGUGUAUCAAAAUGAUACGGUGAAUACGUUCCCGGGA